UGAAAAGUACUGAGAUGUGAUCGGAAGAUAAUUCUAGACAUGAUUCGCAUUUAGUAUAAGGGAUAAGUAUGCCUUUAGUGACGAAGAAGUCUAUCAAAUCCGGAACUUUAGUUCUGUCAGAAUGCCAAUUGGAAACGUGAAAUCUAUAAAAGAAGAUUUAUCAUCUGAGGAUAUUUUUGAACGGGACUUUGUAUUCGAGAAAUAUCUUGUUAUGUAGUAAGACAGAAAUAUGCGAAAAAGUGUUUUGGUUGUAUUGCUGGCAUGGACUUUUAUGGUACAUCAAGGAUUAUGUGGCAGAUUGAAAAAGAUCGCCCAGCAACCGAGUAAUCUACUGGAGGACUAUUCUGCCUAUCGUCAUGUCUCGAUUAUCCAUUUUAAUGUGCCAGAACAUCUCGUUGCGGUUGUCUUUAAGUACGUAUCGGAUCAAUUUGACUAACGAGAAUUUCAGGACUUGCGUGCUGUUUAUUAUUAAAAUUUUAAUAGUUCAACUAAACAUUUGUAAUGUAAAUAACUCUGCAUCUAUUCUGUUUCUUUGGUUUCCAGUACUCCUAGUAUUCCUAUUUGCAGAAGUAAACAAAAUAUUUGUAUCAUUUAUACUAUUUAAUGAAAUCAAAAAAAACCUUGAAUCCAUUA
rnacentral:misc_RNA from 1 species